CCUACGGGUGGCAGCAGUGAGGAAUAUUGGUCAAUGGGCGGAAGCCUGAACCAGCCAAGUCGCGUGAGGGAAUAAGGCCCUACGGGUCGUAAACCUCUUUUGCCGGGGAGCAAGGGCGGGGACGUGUCCCGGCCCGGAGAGUACCCGGAGAAUAAGCAUCGGCUAACUCCGUGCCAGCAGCCGCGGUAAUACGGGGGAUGCGAGCGUUAUCCGGAUUUAUUGGGUUUAAAGGGUGCGUAGGUUGUUUUUUAAGUCAGCGGUGAAAGUUUGUGGCUCAACCAUAAAAUUGCCGUUGAAACUGGAAGACUUGGGUGUGUUUGAGGUAGGCGGAAUGCGUGGUGUAGCGGUGAAAGGCAUAGAUAUCACGCAGAACUCCGAUUGCGAAGGCAGCUUACUAAGCCAUAACUGACACUGAAGCACGAAAGCGUGGGGAUCAAACAGGAUAGAUACCCUUGUAGUC
rnacentral:rRNA from 1 species